CAGGGUUCUAGGUCAGGAUGGCGGAUUUGGAUCCGGGUCGACCCGUCGCACCCAAUAAUUGGCGAUAAUUUAAAUCCAAGUGCGUAGCUCCUUAUUUUUAAAUCCAAGUUCAUAUAACUCCGAGUGUAAAAUUUUAAACCAUGUAGAAUUCUCUAUUUAAUACAAAAUUAGGUACACAUUUUUUUUUAUAUAUAUAUGAGUUAAAUACAAUCAAUAACUCAAUUGGGGAAAAAAAUAUAAAUAUUAAUUUCUAAACAAUUUAGCAUAUAGCGAACCAAUUACUUCACAAUCAUAUCAAUUCACAUAAAAACCAUUAAUCUAAUCAAUAAAUUGAAGAAAAAACAUAGAAAAAUAAAUUGAUUAGAGCAAACCCCAUGAACUCCAUUAAAGUGUAAUUUUUUUUAUUUGGACCACUUAAAAGAAAGUCCAAAACAACUACUAAUUUUUUUAGCCCAACUAAAUAUAUUAUACUACUUUAUUAACAUUUUAAUAUAUGGCAGAUAUACAGCAUUCAAUAUAAAAACUACUCCACUAAAUUUCGAGAGCCCCCCUUUAAAAAAAAAAUAAAAAUAAAUUCGAGAGCCCCAACCAUAUUUUUUUGAGAGAAAGAGCCCCAACCAUAUUUUUUUGAGAGAAAGAGCUCCAACCACUUGAUGAACUCGAGAGCCUAGUUUAUUAGUGUACUUCAAUAAACAAAGCAUAAUAUAAAUACAGAGAGAGAGAGAGAAGCAUUGAUUUUUAGGGUUUCAGCCGCUGCCUUAGAAUUCUAGAGUGUUCUCCACUUCUCCCAAAAUUCAAUCCUAAUCUCAUUAUAGAUCCGCCGCUCUCACUUCCAGAUCCAAUCCUUCGAACACAUAUUUUACAAUUCAAGUCUUCUCCACAAGCCACGGCCGCCGAUUGUCUGCCUCUCAAUCACUCACCGACGUUCCCACCUCGACGACGAUAAAUGCGCCGCUGCCUCCCUCUGCACAGCUCGUAUCCAGCCGCCGCCAUCCGGGUUUCAAGCUACGGCGUAGCCCAAGCCCUAGCCUCCAGAUCUCGGCCUCCUCUCUGCAUCUUUAAUUCUAGCAUUCUCCAUAUGAAAUUUUGAAACCUUUUCUUGCAGAUUAGUUUUUCUAUACUGAAUAAGAUCUACUUUUUAUUUUUUCGUUUAUUAGAUUUUCAUUUUUUAAUUUUUAGUUUUUUUAAUUUUCUCCAUGUUUAAAAUUUCUUGCUCAAUGUCAAAUUUCCACCCCCUUAUUUUUAUACUGAUUAAGAUCUAUUUUUUUUCGUUUAUUAGUUUUUUUAAUUUUUAAUUUCUUAUAUUUUUUUUGUUUUUACAUUAUCAUUUUUGUAGAUCUAUGAAUAUCAUUUGAAAAAGAUUCGAGAGAGAGAAUUUUGGGAGUUAUUUUUUGGGAGAAAGAAAAAGAGAGUUAACGUCUGGAGAAGGCGAUUUUGUGUCGGCAAGUUUUGAUUUUGCUGCUGUUUUUGGGGCUCCGUUGUUGAAGCUCUGUUCCUCAUCUUCUUCCUUCUUCUCUGCUCACUAUUUUGCAGAUCCAAGAGAUAACACUUUCAAGCUCCAUCGAUAAAUUCAGAUCUUCAUCUGCGCAGAAAAAUAAAAAAUAGCAGCUUGCAUAAAGUAGAAAUAAUUGUUGUGAUAAGCUACCUCUAUUGAAGUUGGUGACUAAUGGUAAUUAGCCAAUCGCUAAACAAAUAAAUGUAUAAAUAUAAAAACAAAAAAAUAUAAAAAAGAAAUAGAAGAACCAAAAAUAGAGAGAGAUAGAAUUUGCAUUGUCAAAAUGUUUUCUGAAAUGAUCUGAUAUUUAUAGGCAGAAGUGUUAACAAAUUGGCUCCAAAAUUGUCUUUUUUUUUUUAAUUUAAAAUGUGAGUUUGGGCGCCAGUGUUGGAGCCAAAAUUUAAUAAAACCAGCUGUAUAAAGCUAUACUGAAAUAUUAAAGUAAUAAUUCUGACAUUUUUAAUGCAGUAUCCCAUGUGCUAAAAAAUACAGCAGAUAUAUAGCUCUAUUACUCUAUUACCCAGCAGUUAAAACAGACGUGAAACAGACGUGAUAUCCACUGGGUUAUAAGAAGCUGCUCAUGGCGGGAAAAAAUGGUGUGCCAAAACUGUGCAUUAAUAUGCAGUAGAUUAUUAAAUCCAUUGAGUUGUAUUGAUUAUGGUGGCAUAGUUGGGAGAAAGAUGGAAUUUAUUCCAUGCUCGAUUUGUGAAGUUAUAAGGUGUUGGUGUUCUUAACUAUUUUGAGUCACUUAGCCUAUAUUUCCCUACCUUAACCAAUGUCCCUACAUUAUAACCCGAAUAAAAAGACCUUUUGAUCUUUAGGUUUGGCACACUAUUAGCGAUGGAGAUUGUAGACGAUUGGCAAGCCUAUGGUAAGAGAUCUGCAUUGCAUUGAAUUCGAUGAAAGUAUACACGUUCCGUUCCAUCAAAUUGAGAGUUGGGUGAUACACAUGCAUUGUGAGACUCAAUUGGUUGGAAUGUCAAGAUUGAUUUUGCUAUAGGUUGUGUUUAUUGGUGAAUUUUGUGCUUAAUUAUUGAGGAUUUGAGAAUUCUAUCAUUCUUUAUUAUUCGGAGGCAUCGAUGAGCUAGAUUUCUUACCCAUUCGUGUUAUUGAUUGUGUUCUUCUCAUUAUUCGAGGACGAACAAUGACUUAAGUUUGGGGAAGUUGAUAACACUCAUGUUUCCAUAAUUUUUAACGUUCAUAUGAUGUUAAUUUUAUAGGAAAUUAAGUGUUGGAUAGUUAUUUUGUGCUUAAAUUGAUUUAUCUUGUGAAAUAUGCUACUUGUUCGUACUUUGGUGAAUUUUACAGAAAUAUGGGGUUCGAAUUUGGACUAUAGAUCUUAAUGAAAGUUGUAGAUCGUCUCGAUACAAGUUCGUAGGCGCAAACGGUUCGUAAAUCCGAGUUCAGACGAGGAAGAUAUGACCGAAAUAAGAAAGUCGCGUGCAGGAUUUUGCGGGAUUUUCGGAUUUUAUCAGUAUUUUCGAGCUCUGUACUGUAUUUAUGCCCUGUGCCUAUAUAUAGGUCCCUUUUUGACCUAUUCAGGGUUCCCAACUUUAUCUUUCACUUCCCAACUUUAGUUUUUCAGUUUCAUAGCUUUAUAUUUUUAUUGAUUUCCAGUUUUGAGAGAUUGGAUCAGAAUUCUACAAGGAUUGAAGAUUCAAGAUUGUUCAUCAGUUUUAUUCAGAGUUUUAUUUAAUUCA